rnacentral:rRNA from 1 species
GACGAACGCUGGCGGCGUGCUUAACACAUGCAAGUCGAACGAUGAAGAAAAGAAUUGAAGCUUCGGCAGAAAUUCAUUUCGGAUUAGUGGCAGACGGGUGAGUAACGCGUGAGCAACCUACCUCUUACAAAGGGAUAGCCUCGGGAAACCGGGAUUAAUACCAUAUAACAUUGCGACGAAGCAUUUCGAUGCAAUCAAAGCUACGGCGGUAAGAGAUGGGCUCGCGUCCCAUUAACCAGAUGGUGAGGUAACGGCUCACCAUAGUAACGAUGGGUAACCGGCCUGCGAGGGUGAACGGUCACACGGGAACUGAGACACGGUGCAGACUCCUACGGGAGGGAGCAGUGGGGAAUAUUGCACAAUGGAGGGAACUCCGAUGCAGCGACGCCGCGGGAGUGAUGAAGGAAGUCGUUUCGUAAAACUCUGUUCUAGGAGAAGAAAAGGACUGUACCAAAGAGGAAAGCUCCGGCUAAAUACGUG